UUUUUUUUUUAUUGGUGUUCAGUUUACUAACAUACAGAAUAACACCCAGUGCCCGUCACCCAUUCACUCCCACCCCCCGCCCUCCUCCCCUUCUACCACCCCUAGUUCGUUUCCCAGAGUUAGCAGUCUUUAUGUUCUGUCUCCCUUUCUGAUAUUUCCCACACAUUUCUUCUCCCUUCCCUUAUUUUCCCUUUCACUAUUAUUUAUAUUCCCCAAAUGAAUGAGAACAUAUAAUGUUUGUCCUUCUCCGACUGACUUACUUCACUCAGCAUAAUACCCUCCAGUUCCAUCCACGUUGAAGCAAAUGGUGGGUAUUUGUCAUUUCUAAUAGCUGAGUAAUAUUCCAUUGUAUACAUAAACCACAUCUUCUUUAUCCAUUCAUCUUUCGUUGGACACCGAGGCUCCUUCCACAGUUUGGCUAUCGUGGCCAUUGCUGCUAGAAACAUCGGGGUGCAGGUGUCCCAGCGUUUCAUUGCAUUUGUAUCUUUGGGGUAAAUCCCCAACAGUGCAAUUGCUGGGUCGUAGGGCAGGUAUAUUUUUACUGUUUGAGGAACCUCCACACAGUUUUCCACAGUGGCUGCACCAGUUCACAUUCCCACCAACAGUGUAAGAGGGUUCCCUUUUCUCCACAUCCUCUCCAACAUUUGUUGUUUCCUGCCUUGUUAAUUUUUCCCAUUCUCACUGGUGUGAGGUGGUAUCUCAUUGUGGUUUUGAUUUGUAUUUCCCUGAUGGCAAGUGAUGCAGAGCAUUUUCUCAUGUGCAUGUUGGCCAUGUCUAUGUCUUCUUCUGUGAGAUUUCUGUUCAUGUCUUUUGCCCAUUUCAUGAUUGGAUUGUUUGUUUCUUUGGUGUUGAGUUUAAAAAAGUUCUUUAUAGAUCUUGGAAACUAGCCCUUUAUCUGAUAUGUCAUUUGCAAAUAUCUUCUCCCAUUCUGUAGGUUGUCUUUGAGUUUUGUUGACUGUAUCCUUUGCUGUGCAAAAGCUUCUUAUCUUGAUGAAGUCCCAAUAGUUCAUUUUUGCUUUUGUUUCUUUUGCCUUCGUGGAUGUAUCUUGCAAGAAGUUACUAUGGCCGAGUUCAAAAAGGGUGUUGCCUGUGUUCUUCUCUAGGAUUUUGAUGGAAUCUUGUCUCACAUUUAGAUUUUUCAUCCAUUUUGAGUUUAUCUUUGUGUAUGGUGAAAGAGAGUGGUCUAGUUUCAUUCUUCUGCAUGUGGAUGUCCAAUUUUCCCAGCACCAUUUAUUGAAGAGACUGUCUUUCUUCCAAUGGAUAGUCUUUCCUCCUUUAUCGAAUAUUAGUUGCCCAUAAAGUUCAGGGUCCACUUCUGGAUUCUCUAUUCUGUUCCACUGAUCUAUGCGUCUGUUUUUGUGCCAGUACCACACUGUCUUGAUGACCACAGCUUUGUAGUACAACCUGAAAUCUGGCAUUGUGAUGCCCCCAGAUAUGGUUUUCUUUUUUAAAAUUCCCCUGGCUAUUCGGGGUCUUUUCUGAUUCCACACAAAUCUUAAAAUAAUUUGUUCUAACUCUCUGAAGAAAGUCCAUGGUAUUUUGAUAGGGAUUGCAUUAAACGUGUAUAUUGCCCUGGGUAACAUUGACAUUUUCACAAUAUUAAUUCUGCCAAUCCAUGAGCAUGGAAUAUUUUUCCAUCUCUUUGUGUCUUCCUCAAUUUCUUUCAGAAGUGUUCUAUAGUUUUGAGGGUAUAGAUCCUUUACAUCUUUGGUGAGGUUUAUUCCUAGGUAUCUUAUGCUUUUGGGGUGCAAUUGUAAAUGGGAUUGACUCCUUAAUUUCUCUUUCUUCAGUCUCAUUGUUAGUGUAUAGAAAUGCCACUGACUUCUGGGCAUUGAUUUUGUAUCCUGCCACGCUACCGAAUUGCUUAUGAGUUCUAGCAAUCUUGGGGUGGAGACUUUUGGGUUUUCUAUGUAGAGUAUCAUGUCAUCGGCGAAGAGGGAGAGUUUGACUUCUUCUUUGCCAAUUUGAAUCCCUUUUAAAUGUUUUUUUGUUGUCUGAUUGCUGAGGCUAGGACUUCCAGUACUAUGUUGAAUAGCAGUGGUGAGAGGGGGACAUCCCUGUCUUGUUCCUGAUCUUAGGGGAAAGGCUCCCAGUGCUUCCCCAUUGAGAAUGAUAUUUGCUGUGGGCUUUUCAUAGAUGGCUUUUAAGAUGUCGAGGAAUGUUCCCUCUAUCCCUAGGCUCUGAAGAGUUUUGAUCAGGAAUGGAUGCUGUAUUUUGUCAAAUGCUUUCUCUGCAUCCAAGAGAGGAUCAUAUGGUUCUUGGUUUUUUUCUCUUGCUGAUAUGAUGAAUCACAUUGAUUGUUUUACGGGUGUUGAACCAGCCUUGUGUCCCAGGGAUAAAUCCUACUUGGUCAUGGUGAAUAAUUUUCUUAAUGUACUGUUGGAUCCUAUUGGCCAGUAUCUUGUUGAGAAUUUUUGCAUCCAUGUUCAUCAGGGAUAUUGGUCUGUAAUUCUCCUUUUUGGGGGGGGUCUUUGUCUGGCUUUGGAAUUAAGGUGAUGCUGGCUUCAUAGAACGAAUUUGGAAGCACUCCAUCUCUUUCUAUCUUUCCAAACAGCUUUAGGAGAAUAGGUAUGAUUUCUUCUUUAAACGUUUGAUAAAAUUCUCCUGGAAGCCAUCUGGCCUGGACUCUUGUGUCUUGGGAGGUUUUGAUGACUGCUUCAAUUUCCUCCCUGGUUAUUGGCCUGUUCAGGUUUUCUAUUUCUUCCUGUUCCAGUUUUUGGUAGUUUGUGGCUUUCCAGGAAUGCGUCCAUUUCUUCUAGAUUGCCUAAUUUAUUGGCGUAUAGCUGUUCAUAAUAUGUUUUAAAAUCGUUUGUAUUUCCUUGGUGUUGGUAGUGAUCUCUCCUUUCUCAUUCAUGAUUUUAUUAAUUUGAGUCUUCUCUCUCUCUUCUUUUUAAUAAGGCUGGCUAAUGGUUUAUCUAUCUUAUUAAUUCUUUCAAAGAACCAACUCCUGGUUCUGUUGAUCUGUUCCACAGUUCUUCUGGUCUCGAUUUCGUUGAGUUCUGCUCGAAUCUUUAUUAGCUCCCUUCUUCUCUUGGGUGUAGGAUCUAUUUGCUGUUUUUUCUCUAGCUCCUUUAUGUGUAAGGUUAGCUUUUGUAUUUGAGUUCUUUCCAGUUUUUGAAUGGAUGCUUGUAUUGCGAUGUAUUUCCCCCUUAGGACUGCUUUUGCUGCAUCCCAAAGAUUUUGAACGGUUGUAUCUUCAUUCUCAUUAGUUUCCAUGAAUCUUUUUAAUUCUUCCUUAAUUUCCUGGUUGACCCUUUUAUCUUUUAGCAGGAUGGUCCUUAACCUCCAUGUGUUUGAGGUCCUUCCAAACUUCUUGUUGUGAUUUAGUUCUAAUUUCAAGGCAUUAUGGUCCGAGAAUAUGCAGGGGACAAUCCCAAUCUUUGGUAUCGGUUCAGACCCGAUUUGUGACCCAAUAUGUGGUCUAUUCUGGAGAAAGUUCCAUGUGCGCUUGAGAAGAAUGUGUAUUCAGUUGAGUUUGGAUGUAAAGUUCUGUAGAUAUCUGUGAAAUCCAUCUGGUCCAGUGUAUCAUUUAAAGCUCUCGUUUCUUUGGAGAUGUUUUGCUUAGAAGACCUAUCAAGUAUAGAAAGAGCUAGAUUGAAGUCACCAAGUAUAAGUGUAUUAUUAUCUAAGUAUUUCUUCACUUUGGUUAAUAAUUGAUUUAUAUAUUUGGCAGCUCCCACAUUCGGAGCAUAUAUAUUGAGGAUUGUUAAGUCCUCUUGUUGAAUAGAUCCUUGAAGUAUGAUAUAGUGUCCCUCUUCAUCUCUCACUACAGUCUUUGGGGUAAAUUUUAGUUUAUCUGAUAUAAGGAAUGGCUACCCCUGCUUUCUUUUGAGGACCAUUCGAAUGGUAAAUGGUUCUCCAACCUUUUAUUUUCAGGCUGUAGGUGUCCUUCUGUCUAAAAUGAGUCUCUUGUAGACAGCAAAUAGAUGGGUCCUGCUUUUUUUAUCCAGUCUGAAACCCUGCGCCUUUUGAUGGGGUCAUUAAGCCCGUCACAUUCAGAGUUAAUAUUGAGAGAUAUGAGUUUAGUGUCAUCAUGAUAUCUAUUCAGUCUUUGUUUUUUGGGACUGUUCCACUGAACUUCUUCUUAAAGGGGAAUUUUAAGAGGCCCCCUUAAAAUUUCUUGCAGAGCUGGUUUGGAGGUCACAUAUUCUUUUAGUUGCUGCCUGUCUUGGAAGCUCUUUAUCUCUCCUUCCAUUUUGAAUGAGAGCCUUGCUGGAUAAAGUAUUCUUGGUUGCAUGUUCUUUUCAUUUAGGACCCUGAAUAUAUCCUGCCAGCCCUUUCUGGCCUGCCAGGUCUCUGUGGAGAGGUCUGCUGUUACCCUAAUACUCCUCCCCCUAAAAGUCAGGGAUUUCUUGUCUCUUGCUGCUUUAAGGAUCUUCUCCUUAUCUUUGGAAUUUGCAAGCUUCACAAUUAAAUGUCGAGGUGUUGAACGGUUUUUUAUUGAUUUUAGGGGGGGAUCUCUCUAUUUCCUGGAUCUGAAUGCCUGUUUCCCUUCCCAGAUUAGGAAAGUUUUCAGCUAGAAUUUGUUCAAAUACAUAUUCUGGCCCUCUGUCCCUUUCGGCGCCCUCGGGAACCCCAAUUAAACGUAGGUUUUUUCUUCCUCAGGCUGUCGUUUUAUUUCCCUUAAUCUAUCUUCAUGGUCUUUUAAUUGUUUGUCUCUUUUUUUCCUCAGUUUCCCUCUUUGCUGUCAACUUGUCUUCUAGGUCACUCACUCGUUCUUCCACCUCGUUAACCCUCGUCGUUAGGACUUCUAGUUUGGAUUGCAUCUCAUUCAAUUGGUUUUUUAAUUUCUGCCUGAUUAGCUCUAAAUUCUGCAGUCAUGAAGUCUCUUGAGUCCUUUAUACUUUUUUCUAGAGCCACCAGUAGCUGUAUAAUAGUGCUUCUGAAUGGCUUUCUGACAUUGAAUUGUAAUCCAGAUUUUGUAACUCUGUGGGAGAGAGGACUGUUUUCUGAUUCUUUCUUUUGAGGUGAGGUUUUCCUUCUAGUCAUUUUGCUCAGUGCAGAGUGGCCAAAAGCAAGUUGUAUUGGGAAAAAGAGAAAAAGAGAGGAGAGAAAGAAGGAAAGAAAGAGAAAGAGAAAAAAAAAAGGAAGAAAAAGAAAAAAAAGAAAAAAAAAAAAAAAGAAGAAAAAGAGAAAGAAAAAGAAAGAGAAAAAAAAGGGGUGGGGAAGGAAACAAAUCAAAAAGCAAAACAAACAAAAACAAAA
rnacentral:lncRNA from 1 species